AUUUUAAUAUUUUAAUUUGAUAAAGAAAUUUGAAUACCUGACAUAAUGCAUGUAGUACAUAUAUUUUUUUUGCAAAUAUUCAGGCUAAAGACAUUCUUAUGUGCCUGCAGAUUUAACAUGUUUAAAGAGAACCAUGCCUAAUUAAGAAUUGAACAUUUGUUUUGCAUACUCACUUUAUAUUCAAUGUCCCCCAACCCUCCCCCAAACUUCUUAUUAGUGCAUAUUAAUAUACAUUUUGUUUUUUUCUGAAUUACACAUUUUCUUUAUUUACAAAUGUUGAUUUUGUAGAAGUAAUGGUUAGUGAUUUCUUAAUACAAUGUAAUAGUCGUUUUGUUAAAAUAAUCAUUGUUUGUUGUUAAUUUGGUACUUUUUUUAUCUAUAAAUAAAUAUAUUUUUCAUAUU
rnacentral:sRNA from 1 species